AACGAACGCUGGCGGCAUGCCUAACACAUGCAAGUCGAACGAUACCUUCGGGUCUAGUGGCGCACGGGUGCGUAACGCGUGGGAACCUGCCCUUAGGUUCGGAAUAACUCCCCGAAAGGGGUGCUAAUACCGGAUAAUGUCUUCGGACCAAAGAUUUAUCGCCUUUGGAUGGGCCCGCGUUGGAUUAGCUAGUUGGUAGGGUAAAAGCCUACCAAGGCGACGAUCCAUAGCUGGUCUGAGAGGAUGAUCAGCCACACUGGGACUGAGACACGGCCCAGACUCCUACGGGAGGCAGCAGUAGGGAAUAUUGGACAAUGGGCGAAAGCCUGAUCAAGCAAUGCCGCGUGAGUGAUGAAGGCCUUAGGGUUGUAAAGCUCUUUUACCCGGGAUGAUAAUGACAGUACCGGGAGAAUAAGCGCCGGCUAACUCCGUG
rnacentral:rRNA from 1 species